rnacentral:piRNA from 2 species
UGGUGUCCUGGGUGAACCUCAUCUGC